CCCCAGAAGGGCCCAGAAAGUGGAACAGAAAAAGUGAAGAAAGGUGGUUCAUACAUGUGUCACAAGUCGCAUUGCUACAGAUAUCGAUGUGCCGCCCGAAGCCAGAACACCCCUGACAGUUCUGCCUCAAAUUUGGGUUUUCGUUGUGCUGCCGAUAGCCUGCCAAGCUACCUGCAUUGAGCAGAUGUUUGUUCAAAAACUUCAGUCGGAGACUCCAUAACUGCCGUUCUUUUUUUUGCAAUUGAACCAUGAGGGGCUCACAGCGUGACUGGGGAGCUGCUGGGUUAAUUGGACUCCAAAGCUGUAAUGCAGCUCCUUGGAAGGAGACGCCACGUAACAACUUACCUGAAGCGGCGUUGGGACACCAUUCUAGUCCAUUCUCAAGACUCUUUGGAAUAAUGUUUUUUUUUUUUUUUUGUUCUUUUUUUAACUCGGCAGUAGGUAAAGUAUUAUUUUGUAAUUAUGGAAUUUUCACAUUACUGUUAUGGUAAUUUGAAAUUGCAAAUUAAAAAUGCAGGUGAAUACAGUAUUGUAAUAUCAGGAACCUAACUUUUUUUGGUUACAUUUACAGUCUUUCAAAAGUUAUAGGAUCCUUCAUACUUGAAGAAGAAAGUUUGCAGCUUUUGGAAAAUCUUCCUGACGCCGGCCAUCUCUUAUACUGUGCAGUGUCAUAAAGAUGAUGGGGACAGUUUCAGGUGGUCAUGUGAUGCUGAAAGGGUAAAUCUUCACUAUUUGUUUUGAUUUCUUUCUUCUCGAGGUGUCCUUCUUCAUCUCCUUCAGAGGAUGACCACCUACACCCACAUCCUCUUUUAGGCCCUUGUCCAUGUCAUUGUGCAGCCGCACUAUCAAUUACAGGUCAGCUCUUUAAAAGAGCAUUUUUUUAGUACUCCUCUUGGAGGAUCUGGGAUGUGUGGCUGUCUAAAGGCACACGUAGCCAAAGCCAAACUCGCAUUGCAAAACUACUAGUUGUCAGGUAUGUCAGACUUGCUGACUGACGCUUGACCAUGACAAAUGAACCUCCUCAGCGUUAUAUUUUCCCCUCAAAUAAAUAUGUAAAAAACAUUGCAGUUUUUGGCUAAUUAAAUCUCAUCUUUCUCCUGUACAAUGUGCAAAACACUAAAAGCACAAAGUCAGAAGUGCAGAAAGUGUAAUAAUGAUACAAAUAAUAAUAAUAAUGUGAACGGCACACUGAGCAUGUGUGAGUGACGUGAGUGUCAUUUUCGGAUUCUCAGAAUCACUUUUGGUUUCACUGACUGUUUCAGUUUCACUUCAUCAUCACUGCUGAUGAGAGGCGUUUCUUACAAGAUGCCAUUAUGAGGCUAGGAGACGAAGCGCCUGACACUGUUUGCCUGAGUAACGCUCAGGCUUGACGCUUGUAUAAGACACAGCUAUACCAUUGCUUGAACAACACUUGACACUAAUGCCAUUGGCAUUUUUACAGCCCGAGUAAACCUCGGGUCUUGCUGGAGACGUGUCUAUACUGUUGCAUGAGUGACACUUGGGUCUAACACCAAGGAAACUAAAUGACUGUAAAUUGCUGGGCAUGUCAAAUUUAGCGACUGUGUGACGACUUUCUGGCACAGUCUUGCUUGCCUCGUUUCACGACUGCCAGUAACAUACUACUUGACAGAGCCGUGCUGUACAAAAGAUUAAAAAUGUACGCCAAGUUCGGCUGCCAUCUCUUUCAAUCUGUCGUGGUAUGUAAAAGAUGAGACAUCAGACAGAUGAACUUCUUUUCUGUCUGUGAGGUCCAAAACACAAGCGUUCGUCAGUCCUCAUAGCUGCAUUCUAUGCAUUGGAUUUCCAGAUGAGCCUUCACUGGUUGCUGCUACAACGAAAGACUGGGUGGGCCGUGGACUAGUCAGAGUGAGUCGCUGGUGAUACCCGACUAGAUGACUGACCUUCACGGGAGCCUGCCACCGACCCUCUAAUGUUAGGUGCAUGAAGACUAUGAUUGAGAAUCGACGGAAAAUGUUGUGUAAUGUGACAAAGCCUUUAGAUGUCCCUCCAACACCAGAAGUGACUGUGAUUUAAGGCCAGGAUCUAGAAACUCUUGUGGUUAAUCAUGGUGAUGAGAUUUCAUAUGAAUUCUGAUUUGGGAAAAGACUGGCAAAGAGAUCAAUAGCGUGACUGCCCACUGUUCAGUAGACGGGUAUGAUUUCUCAUAUGGCAUUUUGUUUUUACUAUGUAACAUUCUUUUUUUUGUACUUUUGCUAGCUUUUUUCUGUUUUCUUUGCAUUUUUGCUGAUUUAUUUACCAGUAAAUUCCCUCAAAUGUUGUA